rnacentral:tRNA from 1 species
UGUGGCUCAGUGGUAGAGCACUUGCCUAGCAUGUAUGAGGCACUGGGUUCGAUCCUCAGCA